AAUGGGUCAGCGACUUAUAUUCUGUAGCAAGGUUAACCGAAUAGGGGAGCCGAAGGGAAACCGAGUCUUAACUGGGCGUUAAGUUGCAGGGUAUAGACCCGAAACCCGGUGAUCUAGCCAUGGGCAGGUUGAAGGUUGGGUAACACUAACUGGAGGACCGAACCGACUAAUGUUGAAAAAUUAGCGGAUGACUUGUGGCUGGGGGUGAAAGGCCAAUCAAACCGGGAGAUAGCUGGUUCUCCCCGAAAGCUAUUUAGGUAGCGCCUCGUGAAUUCAUCUCCGGGGGUAGAGCACUGUUUCGGCAAGGGGGUCAUCCCGACUUACCAACCCGAUGCAAACUGCGAAUACCGGAGAAUGUUAUCACGGGAGACACACGGCGGGUGCUAACGUCCGUCGUGAAGAGGGAAACAACCCAGACCGCCAGCUAAGGUCCCAAAGUCAUGGUUAAGUGGGAAACGAUGUGGGAAGGCCCAGACAGCCAGGAUGUUGGCUUAGAAGCAGCCAUCAUUUAAAGAAAGCGUAAUAGCUCACUGGUCGAGUCGGCCUGCGCGGAAGAUGUAACGGGGCUAAACCAUGCACCGAAGCUGCGGCAGCGACGCUUAUGCGUUGUUGGGUAGGGGAGCGUUCUGUAAGCCUGUGAAGGUGUGCUGUGAGGCAUGCUGGAGGUAUCAGAAGUGCGAAUGCUGACAUAAGUAACGAUAAAGCGGGUGAAAAGCCCGCUCGCCGGAAGACCAAGGGUUCCUGUCCAACGUUAAUCGGGGCAGGGUGAGUCGACCCCUAAGGCGAGGCCGAAAGGCGUAGUCGAUGGGAAACAGGUUAAUAUUCCUGUACUUGGUGUUACUGCGAAGGGGGGACGGAGAAGGCUAUGUUGGCCGGGCGACGGUUGUCCCGGUUUAAGCGUGUAGGCUGGUUUUCCAGGCAAAUCCGGAAAAUCAAGGCUGAGGCGUGAUGACGAGGCACUACGGUGCUGAAGCAACAAAUGCCCUGCUUCCAGGAAAAGCCUCUAAGCAUCAGGUAACAUCAAAUCGUACCCCAAACCGACACAGGUGGUCAGGUAGAGAAUACCAAGGCGCUUGAGAGAACUCGGGUGAAGGAACUAGGCAAAAUGGUGCCGUAACUUCGGGAGAAGGCACGCUGAUAUGUAGGUGAAGCGACUUGCUCGUGGAGCUGAAAUCAGUCGAAGAUACCAGCUGGCUGCAACUGUUUAUUAAAAACACAGCACUGUGCAAACACGAAAGUGGACGUAUACGGUGUGACGCCUGCCCGGUGCCGGAAGGUUAAUUGAUGGGGUCAGCGCAAG
rnacentral:rRNA from 1 species